ACAUCAGGAGAACAGAAGAGAACACACACGGAAAAUAAAAAAAAGUCAAUAUUACAACAUAGUACUAUUUACUUUGAUCAACUUAAAAUUUCAAAGUACCAUCAUUCUUGUUUUAAAGAAAAAGAAGGUCCUUCAAACUUUGAGACACCAUCACAUGAGCUAAUGUAGCUAUGUUCUAUUUACAGAUAUGAGAAGUCUCACAGUAAGCCAGGCUGUGUAAGCAACCCUGAAGGCUGGUCAAAAACAACCCCAUUGGGAAAAGCAUGAGGAGUUAGUUAGCUUCCACUUUCUUGAAUGCCACCCCUUUACAGGCAGACUGCGACAGGCUGUAAGCCUUCCCACAGACUCUAGGACUCGACUCGGCACCGCCAGUAAGCUGUUGGCAUGCCACAACAUACAGGAAUGCAUACAGGAUGCACAAUCAGAAAACAUGCACACCUAAAUGAGAGAAGGAAAUGGCACGCUAACUGCAUGGAGGUCAGGGACCAAGCAGACCUACUAAAACCUAUUCCACCCCUGACUGUCCUCUAAGGCAUGCUACACUCCUGCUCCUUUCCUUUGCAUAUGAAGGAAGGCUGCUAAUAGUGCUUUUCACCCUCCAAGUCAAAGUUCAGGACUUAGCCUUCUGAGGGUUGUAAAUAGUAGAAUGCUCAGUUCCACUCAGCAAAGAUGUUCUUAUCUCACGCACCCAAAUAGGUUUAACCCCACUGACCUAGUGAAGAGCUACAGAGCUGGUGCUGGCUACUGGACGCCUUAUGUGGAUGUCUUUACACUGCUAUAAUGUCAUCAGCAUGAGCUAUGCCACUAGGCCUGGCAUACUCAGAACUUAAACUGGUCUCCACAAUAAGACGCCAUAUUCUUACUGCUUAGCAAAUAAGGAAGGCACAAAUAGGAGCUGGUAAGUGAUUCUGUUUUAACAUUUUAUUUCACUCUAAUCAGAUAAUUUUAAUUAAAAAAUUAUCUGACUUAUAUGCUACCAACAAAUUUGAUUAUUCUCACUAUACUAGCAGGAAAUUGGAGACAUGGAAGAAACUAACCCUGAGGUAAGAAAUGCAAGUCAAAUGGAGUACAUCCAGAAACUAGUACAUCCCAAGUCUGCACAACCGUGAGGACCAACUGCAAACCAUCUUCAUCCUGCCAAGCCGCACCUUGUCCCUGGUGUCACCAACGUUCUCAAUGCCCUCCAGCACAGACAGUGACCUACUAUCGGUCUCUAUGGAUUUGCUUCUUCUGGACAGUUAGUUCAUGGACACGGAAUCAUACAAUUAUGUAGCCUAUUGGGUCUCUCAGUUAAUUGGCUUAACAGCUCGCUCAGCACGUUGUAACAAACACCAGUAAUUCACUCUUCUUACAGCUAAGUUCUUUUUCUUUUUUAGUCUUACUUUUACUCAUUUGUUUGUGGACGUGUGUGGAGGCCAGAGAACAACUUGUAGGAGCCAAUUUUCUCCUCCCACCACUGCAGGUCCUGGGGGUUGAACUCUAGGUAUAAAAUCUGGAGGCAACAGCCUUUACUCACUGAUCGUCUCACUGGCCCCCAACAAUGUUCUACUGCAUGGGUGUACCACAUUUGGUUUAUCUAUUCAGCAGCAGGUUGCUUCUAUUAACAAAGCUGCUAAGACAUCCAUGGACAUCUUUUGUUGAAUCCUCAACAGAAGUAAAAUUGCCAGUGACUGCUAACUUUCUGAGGAACUCGCUACCAUGCUGUUUUCCACAGGUACCGCCCCAUUUUUAUCACUAUUAGCAACAUUUCUCCAUAUCCCCAGCCACGACUUACUUUCCACUUUCUUGGUCAUAGCAAUCCUGGAGGGAAUAAAGUGGUAUCUCAUUGUA